GACGAACGCUGGCGGCGUGCUUAACACAUGCAAGUCGAACGGAAAGGCCCUGCUUUUGUGGGGUGCUCGAGUGGCGAACGGGUGAGUAACAAGUGAGUAACCUGCCCUUGACUUUGGGAUAACUUCAGGAAACUGGGGCUAAUACCGGAUAGGAGCUCCUGCUGCAUGGUGGGGGUUGGAAAGUUUCGGCGGUUGGGGAUUGACUCGCGGCUUAUCAGCUUGUUGGUGGGGUAGUGGCUUACCAAGGCUUUGACGGGUAGCCGGCCUGAGAGGGUGACCGGCCACAUUGGGACUGAGAUACGGCCCAGACUCCUACGGGAGGCAGCAGUGGGGAAUAUUGCACAAUGGGCGGAAGCCUGAUGCAGCAACGCCGCGUGCGGGAUGACGGCCUUCGGGUUGUAAACCGCUUUCGCCUGUGACGAAGCGUGAGUGACGGUAAUGGGUAAAGAAGCACCGGCUAACUACGUG
rnacentral:rRNA from 1 species